CUGAAUCUGUUUUCAACAGCUGUGGGGACAUUGGAAUGAACCCUGUGUGUUAGGGACAGGGACAGGACUAGGGUGAGGCAAUCAGUCACUUGCUUCAGGUGCAAAAUUUGAGAAAGGAACCUUGGAGUGCUCACUUUGUAGAUGGGGAAACGGUCCUAGGUGGUGGUUCUCAAACCCUAGUGUGCAUCAGGAUCUUCUGAGGAGCUUGUUAAAGGUGCAGGUCCCUGGGCAGCCAUGGGGGCCAAGAAACUGCAUCUGUAACCUGCUUGCCUUAUAUUCUGAUGCUGAUCUAAAUACUCCUGCACUGAGCCAGAGAACUUCUGAAAUUAGAAAUGUUCACACACAGGGCAGGUGAGCAGGUGGCAGAGUGUUUCAGUCCGGCGGUGGGAGGUGGGACGGUCCACUCCCAGCUUUGGCAAGAAGGAUCUGAAAGAUGAGCCUUUGCAGAUGCCCAUGGUCAAAGCAACAACUGGAUGGCCGUGCCAUGCCCAUCCUUGUGCUUUGGCAGGGAGUUACAGUCCUAGCCUAGGACUUGGCCCCUUAUUUCUGCCCUCAGCUCCUUCCUGCCCUGGCUGAUAUGGAGUGGAGUCAGACAUGAAAACAGAAAUCAAGCUAAUCAUUUCUCCAGGCAGAUACUAGACUAGCUUAAAUUUUUUACCCCAUCAAACCUGAAAGCUUCUCUGCUCGUGUUCCUGUAAGGACAGGGACAUCAUUACUCAGUCCUCCAACUGGCCCUAUACAGGGUUCCCUCUCAGCAAAGGAUUUGGUCAGUCAGGGUCUCAACUCUGUAAGGGGCUCUUACCCUCAACGCCUACUCCUUGGAAAGCUUGCUUUGGCCUAAUACUGGUGUCCACUCUGAACCUGGUUCCUUCCCAGCAAUAAGAGCUGACGCGGCCCUGAAUCAGAAAGAGCACUGGUCCAGGAGUCAGGCAUCCCUUUUCCCGUCUCAGCUCAGCUGAGUUUGCUGUGCGACCCUGGAUAAGCCACUUCCCCUCUUUGGGCUUAAAAUGAAGGGAAGACUAGAUCAGAGCUUCUUAAACUUGAUUGUAGUCAGCAAAAAUGGUAGAGUAGGGAACUCCAAAAGCCUGUUCCUCCGUGAAAGUGACAAAUAAGAUGGCAAAAACUGUCAGAAUCAACUUUAUGAGAGCUCUGAAAAUGAAAGUUUGCAACCAAACAAAAGCUUAAAAAACAAAGUUGAGUCUUGGUGAGAGGAUCUUGCUUCAUUUUCACUAACUCCAGCCUUAUCCUCCUCACUGCAGCUUGGCAUCAGCCUCAAAAACAAUAUCCACAUUCUGUUAUAGGUUCCUAGCAAUGAAUGGAGCAGAAUGGACCUUGUUCUCAAGAAUUAUGGUUUUUAAGCAUUGAAGAAAUGCAACCAUGCUUAUAGCCUGAGGACAGGAGGAAGCCAGAACUGAAAGAAUGCAUUUCCCGAAGAGAUGUGAGGCCACGGAAUCCAGAAAUGGUGGUGGGGGUAGGGGUCAAAUGUGGAAGGAAGGAAGAGAGAGGAAACGCAGCAAAAAUGGGUAAAAAAGUUCUACUUAAAGGGCCAAGAAGUUGAGGGAGUCCCAUCUGAUGGCCUCCGUUCACUCGGUAAAGUAAGAGGGGAAUCAUCUGCUGAAAAUUCGUGUAGGGUUAGGAAAGGAAAGCGAGUUGUGAAGUAUUAUCAGGAAUUCUGUGAGUGGGUUGUUGGACACAGCCACUAAAAUGGGAGCCGUGGUGAAAGUAUUUCCACCAUGGAAACUGACAAAUGCUUUUUUUUGUUUUCCGAAAGCCAGUGUAUCAGCCCACCCCUGGGUAAGAAGCUUGAAUAAAGAGGGGGCUCCAAAAGGGGAUGAGGAGAAUGAGGAAGGCGGUUAGGAGGAUGAUGCAGAACAACCUGACAUCACAAGGAAGCCCGCCCGCAGCAGCUCAGCAGCUUAGGCCAAGAGGAAGCAACAUGACCCUGCCGGCCAAGUGGGGCUCUGCCAGCUCUGGAAGUCACGAACAACAUGAAUCUGCUCCCUCCCUCAGCCUAAAACACCCUGUUCUCUACGUGUCAGCGAUGAGGGCUCACUUGGCUCCCAAACCCCUCCAGGGAAGAGGUUGGGCUGAGGUUGCUCUCCAAAUCACACA